GUGGGGAAUAUUCCGCAAUGGACGAAAGUCUGACGGAGCAACGCCGCGUGAGUGAUGAAGGUUUUCGGACUGUAAAGCUCUGUUGUUUGGGACGAAAGUGCCUGUUGCGAACAGUUACGGGUAUUGACGGUACUAAACGAGGAAGCCACGGCUAACUACGUGCCAGCAGCCGCGGUAAUACGUAGGUGGCAAGCGUUGUCCGGAAUUAUUGGGCGUAAAGAGCAUGUAGGCGGGAAUCUAAGUCUGUUGUUAAAAUGCGGGGCUCAACCCCGUAUUGCGAUGGAAACUGGGUUUCUUGAGUGCAGGAGAGGAAAGGGGAAUUCCCAGUGUAGCGGUGAAAUGCGUAGAUAUUGGGAGGAACACCAGUGGCGAAGGCGCCUUUCUGGACUGUGUCUGACGCUGAGAUGCGAAAGCCAGGGUAGCGAACGGGAUUAGAAACCCCUGUAGUCC
rnacentral:rRNA from 1 species